GGGGAUGAUCGGUUUCGACAUUGCCUGAAUGACCGUGAGAAGCGGGCCGAGGAUGCAGGGUUAUCUCGUAAACGAUCUCUGCAAACCAUAGGUGCCAAUUCCAAGCGCACCGACUUCGCUCUCGCCGUCUGAGCUAGAGCUGUAAGUCCGUCAGCCCGGGUCCGCUUCCGCCCCGGUGUCUGGCGUCAUCUAGGGAGCUCGCCGCGAUGCUGCGUCUCAGGGCAUCGCGGGACUUUUCCUGAGGCUGGGCUCGUCGGGGCAGGUGCUUGCGACAAACUCCGGAGCCGAGUAGAACGCUUUCCGCAGGCUACGCCCGUAGAAGGCACGGGAUUACAGCAAUGGACGGGGGUUCAAUUCCCCCCAUCUCCAC
rnacentral:tmRNA from 1 species